AAGAGGAGGACAAUCCCAGCAAUUAUUUAUAUUCUUUAUUUAAGACGAUUCUUUUGCCAACACGCCACUUGCCUUUUUUUUUUUUUCCACCUUCGUCUUCUUACCGAUCGCAGGCUCCUCCGCGGCGUCCUCAUCGUCGUCGCCAUCUUCAUCUGAACCACCAGGCGGAAGAGGAGGAGGAGGAAGUAGGAUUCAUCUCCUCGUCGCGGUUGCUGCGAAUUAAGUAGCUUACAAUGGAUUCCAUCACCUCCACAACACCGGUUUCACGGGAACUCGCUCGGGAGUCUCUAAUUGCAAUCUCUCAAACACCACCAGAAAAUAACCUCACCUCUGAUGUGUUGCCUGUAAACUCAACUGAGGUUGGCAUGGCAAAUCAACAAGUCAAUAGUGAGACAGAUAAGUACAGAUCUAAGUUGAUCUCCAUCUCCCAGUGUCAAUCUCCAGACGUUCCACCAUCACCAGCCUCGACUUAGAUGAUGAGUUACUCUAACUUGAGAACAUCUAUAUCCUUGUUUGUACUUAUCCUAUGUUCACUGUGUGUGCUUCCCGUCAUGCUUUGAUGUGAAUUACCGUGAAAAUCUAAUUAUGUGGAGUGACUUUGUUCUAUCCUCCAUUAUUGUUCACCUCAUGGAAAUUUGAUGUGAUUGGCCGUUUGUUAGGAAUUAAUUACAUUUUUCACUGCA